GUAGUCCACGCUGUAAACGAUGUCGAUUUGGAGGUUGUGGUCAUGAACUGUGGCCUCCGGAGCUAACGCGUUAAAUCGACCGCCUGGGGAGUACGGCCGCAAGGUUAAAACUCAAAUGAAUUGACGGGGGCCCGCACAAGCGGUGGAGCAUGUGGUUUAAUUCGAUGCAACGCGAAGAACCUUACCUACUCUUGACAUCCAGCGAAUCCUUUAGAGAUAGAGGAGUGCCUUCGGGAGCGCUGAGACAGGUGCUGCAUGGCUGUCGUCAGCUCGUGUUGUGAAAUGUUGGGUUAAGUCCCGCAACGAGCGCAACCCUUAUCCUUUGUUGCCAGCGAGUAGUGUCGGGAACUCAAAGGAGACUGCCGGUGAUAAACCGGA
rnacentral:rRNA from 1 species